rnacentral:rRNA from 1 species
UACGUAGGGGGCAAGCGUUGUCCGGAAUCAUUGGGCGUAAAGAGCGUGUAGGCGGCCCGGUCAGUCCGCCGUGAAAGUCCAGGGCUCAACCCUGGAAUGCCGGUGGAUACUGCCGGGCUGGAGUCCGGAAGAGGCGAGUGGAAUUCCUGGUGUCAGCGGUGAAAUGCGCAGAUAUCAGGAGGAACACCAAUGGCGAAGGCAGCUCGCUGGGACGGUACUGACGCUGAGACGCGAAAGCGUGGGGAGCAAACAGG